rnacentral:rRNA from 1 species
AACGAACGCUGGCGGCGUGCCUAACACAUGCAAGUCGUGCGAGAAAGUUCCUUCGGGAGCGAGUAAAGCGGCGCACGGGUGAGUAACACGUAGGUAACCUGCCCCCCAGUCUGGAACAACUAGAGGAAACUCUAGCUAAUGCCGGAUGAGACCACGAUCCCUUCGGGGGUUGCGGCCAAAGAUGGCCUCUACUUGUAAGCUAUCGCUGAGGGAUGGGCCUGCGGGCCAUUAGCUUGUUGGUGAGGUAACGGCGUCACCAAGGCUGUGAUAGGCUAGCUGGUCUGAGAGGAUGACCAGCCACACUGGACUGAGACACGGCCCAGACUCCUACGGGAGGCAGCAGUGGGGAAUAUUGCGCAAUGGGCGAAAGCCUGACGCAGCGACGCCGCGUGGGUGAUGAAGGCCU